rnacentral:lncRNA from 10 species
UUGGGAGCUGUGAUCAGCACAGGCUGCUUGGCCAGGAGGAAUGACUGCAGGGUGGGCAGACACAGGAUCUUUCGUGCGAGCCCGCGUGUGUGUCUAAACUUAGCCACAUCAGGAAGCUGACACUGUUGAGUCCCCUUGGUGAAAGGCCAGUGUGGUUGGCCAAGCCUUCCCGCUGAUGGACCAGGUCAUCCACGAAGCUGCCUCAGGACUAAGACAGCUCCCAGCGGAACAGCACCUUGCCAGAGAAGCUCUGGUUGGGGGACUGCACUGCUGGGCAUCAGCACCCGCUGCCAUUACCCGUGUGUGUGUGUGUGUGUGUGUGCGUGUACCAUGCACAUGUGUGGCUCACUCGGAGGUGAGAACCCAGCAUGGGCAUGCUGCUGUGUCUGCACUUGUGAGACAGUAUUUUUCCUUCAAAAGUCAGCCAGGGGUAGAAGAUUCAUCUGCCUAUAGACUCACAGUUCUCAUUGGUGUCUUGGGCCUGGGAAAAUGCUUUACAUGUUCAAAGGAGACAGAAAUCACCACUCUGCAGAGCUUCAGGCCCUGUGUCCGCCAAAGAGACUUGCAGAGCUACCCAUCCUGGCCCCAACGGCAGGAGGGGCAUCCUCCCUCCAGACCAUCAGCAUUCUGCAUCAUCUAACAGUGCUGGCAUAGCAGGCCUCCCUACUUUCCUGCAAAAGAAGCUAACACCUGCCCAGGGUGGCUACCAAGGGAGGAUCUGACAUUCGAGGUGUGGAUGAGGCACCUGCCACAGAGGUGGUGCCCAUUCAAUGCUGGGUUCUUCCCUUGGAGUUCCUUGGUUAUGUUGACAGCCACCCCAUCAUGGUCUGGCCUGCUCGUACCUUCCCAUCUCCCUUCUCAUGACUUGUCUUGUAAGAUGUCCAGUGCUUAUUAUAAGGUGGGUGGAUAGGAUGAACUUCAUUUAUUAAUUUUGUAUUACACACAUUAACAACAAACAGAAAUCAACCAGAAAUAUUUCAUAGUCCUUGGUCAACCAUUUGGAUGGCUACAGAAGUCCAGUGGAAAAGUCAAGGUCAGUAUUUGUUCUGCCUUAAGAGAAGGUAACUGACCUGCCCAUGACCACAGGGAUAGGAAGGAGCUGAGCCAGGUACAGGCUUUGGUCUGGGUGCUGAUGGGUCCUGGGCUCUUCCCAGCACAGAGAUUAGAAGGGAGGGACUGUGAGGCCCUUAGCCAUGCACACAGUGGACUCUCCUCUCAUCUUUGGCCAUCUGGACUGGACAGAGAAGCUGUGAUGAACUUCAGAGGGAAUGUUGUGAUCACAUCACUCAUUUAUUACAUGAAUCAUUCAUGUAUUCACUCCUUCAUGUAUUCACCACCUGUUGAGUGAUGUCUUCUGGGCAACCAGUACUGUGGAAGAUGCAAAAGAUAGAAGAUAAGACCCCUAUUCCUAGGGACCUUGCUGGCAUUGCACAACUUGUCUUAAAACCUCUGUAUGCUCACCUGCUUUCCAACUUCAUAGAGAAGAGCACCCCCUUUGAACCUGUAGGAUAAACCCUUAAACCGAAAAGCACCCUAAAGAAUUAGAACUUUCAAAAUUAAAUGGACACACACAUUCACACACAUUUUAUUUUGCAACUUGCUUCAGGGUCCUGCAGCAAAUCUUAAUAAUAAAGGCCGCACCUGUGUGAUAGAAGCUUUCUAAACCCCACAUUUAUUUUAAUCUUGGGACACCAGUCUGGUUUUCUCCUUCUUCCAAAGCACAUUGUAUUAGUCUGUUCUCAUACUGCUAAUGAAGAUACACCUGAGACUGUGUAAUUUAUAAAGGAAAGAGGUGUAAUUGACUCACAGUUCCACAUGGCUGGGUAGGCCUUAGGAAACUUACAAUCAUGGCAGAAGGCACCUCUUCACAGGGUGGCAGGAGGGAGAAUAAGAGCUGAGCAAAGGGGAAAGCCCCUUAUAAAACCAUCAGAUCUCGUGGGAGCUCACUGACUAUCACGAGAACUGUAUGGCGGAAACUUCCCCUGUGAUUCAGUUAUCUCUGCCUGAUCCCACCCUUGACAAAUGGAGAUUAUUACGAUUCAAGGUGAGAUUUGGGUGAGGACACCAACCAAAAC